ensembl:lncRNA
GCAAUGGCAAGUGAUCUAUAAAGGAUUUUAAAAAACCUGUACGUUUCUCCAUCAGCCUUUGACCUUUGAUUUGGGAAUGUUGUGUUGAAUCAAGAGAGAGGAAUUAACCAUAGUUCUAUUCUGCUAUUACGUUCAUUAAUCUGUCAUACUUCAUCGCACAUUGCACAGACCACCCUGCAGAUCCUGCUGCCGGCCCUGGCCCGCAUUCUAUGGGUGACGGGCUUUUAUGACAACGCUGACACACUCGAGGGGUGGAUCCUUCACUGCCUUUGAGCAGAAAAGACUGGAGCUCAUCCAGGAAGUUAAAUAUUUGGCGAAGUAACUGUGGCGGCAGGGUUCUCCGACCAAGGUCUAGCACACCCUCUUCCAAGAGGUACUGUAUGUUCCCCAUAAUGUGUGUGUGUGUGUGUGUGCAGUUAUUCCUAACCCUCAAACUGAUGAACAAUAAUUUCUCCAUUUCAAUAUUUUCCAGCUUUCUAACAGGUGUGUUUUGCAAUAUCUAAUGCACACAUAUAAAUUACAUUUAGAAUACUCAAUUAUAAUGCUUGUUAGAUUUGUUAGCACUAAGAUAUCGAUUUUCCAACUUCAGACAGCAAUUAACAUGCUUUGCUUGUUCAUUUUAAAGUUCCCAGACCUCACUGAAAGUCCACCUGGGAAUGCCAGAGGACAGUAUCAUCAGCAGUGUCCAGGAGCAACUGUCAAAAUCUGACCAAAUGGUGGCUGCAGGACAGCUUUCACAAAUAGAUAAAGUGGUUGGAACUAUGCUGGAGAACAUUGAGAAGAUAAGCAGCGAAUGUGGCGAGGAAUUGGUCUAUCAAGAGUCACUGCGGUCUUCCUCCUCGUUGUCAUUCUCAACUGCCAAAUCACAGAAGACAGAGUGGGAAUUUGCACUCCCAUUCCUUCUGAGUUACCCGAGAGUACUGCUCAGCCCAUUGUAAGAUGCUCAGUCAUUGACAUGAGCGAAUCUACUAAGCCAAAAACAAUGGUGUGUGAUGCCAGAACAAGCAUGUUUGCCAUAGCCGAUACCAUCAUGAAGACGGUAUAUCCAGAGGCAGAAGGGCAGGUUACAUCUCACCCUGAUCUAACAGAUCCAAUAGCUAGACUGGAGGAGCUCAUAUCUCAGGGUAGGAUUGGUGCUCUCUCCCGUGAUCUCAGUCACCAAGUCAACCGCAUAAUUUCCGAUAGCAACUUGACCCCUCUGGGACUGACAGUGGCGGCUGGAAAGAGUGCAUCUGAUACCAUCCUUUCGAAGCUGAAGAGGAAUGACAAGGUGGGGAAGCCCACAACUUACGAGCUGGUUCAGCUGUUUGUAGAGGAGUCUGUUAAGUGCCUCCUGCUUCCUAGUUUUGUGCCCUAUUCAACUUCAAUGAGUUUGGCUCAGGGGGCCAAGGUGUUGGCUAGAGUGUCUGAAGAUAGAAUUUCAUGCUCUUCUUCUUCAUCAGUAUUUAGUGACACAGUCAGUCUCUUUACCAAAGUUAUGGUAAGCCAGGUCAUGUACUCUGUGGAUUCUGAUGCAGAAAGUAGAGGAUCCUCUCCAACUGAAUCUCUCCAAACAUCUGAAACCACUAUAUCUGAUGUAGGCAAUCUAUUGAGUGGCAAGUCCUCCCCUCGGCUGUCUCCUUCUGGCUCCAUUAUGGCAACAAGCGAGACCUCCAAUGCAGCACAAAUCUUGAAGGCCAACAUUGAUGGAGAGGAAGUGGAUACCACCAGUCAUUCUGGUGUAGCUCAAAACAUUGUCAGGGACGAUAUGUCAACCAGCCCAGACAUGGUCAAAGAUGUCACACUUCCAACCCCAUCCUCUGAUAACUUGGGCGGUGAUGAUGACGUCACCGGCCUCAUCAGCAUGUUAGUAAUGAGAAUUCUAACAGAAAUCCAAACCCCAGCAGAAGAUUACCCAGUUGACGUCACACGCAAGUCACAAGACCUGAUCCCUAAAGUUAUGGAGGUCUUCUGUGCAUGGUCAGGCUGCUCUGAGACACAAGCCUAUCCAGAGAACUUGAGGAUUCAUAAAGUCUACAGAGUCGUCUAUAAAAAUCUGUUGGAGGAGUUUGGCUCGGAGAAAAUCCUCCAACAGGCCGUGUCGACUCAGGACUCUUCAUUUGAUAGGAUUCUUGUCAAGUCUUUGAGUGAAGCGCUUCUCCACAGAUGUAAUGAGGCAUUGAGGGCAGCCUCAAGAACAUCAGUCAAAACCACCGGGCCUAAGGCUUUUCCACUGGCUGAGGAUGUGAGGGCUAGCAGCGGGAAACUAUCUUUUCUACAAAGGCUGGUCAGGCUGACAAGCAACUUAAAGCUAUUCAAGAAGGGGAACAAGAAGGAUUCCCACCGCUCUGAAUCAGAACAAGUACAGACCACUGCUGAAGAUGGCAUGCUGCCCAGCAUAGUGCCACAUGCUGCCAUGUCUGCACUGCCAAAGGAUCUCCCCGCCAGCUCCCAACAGGAGACGCCUCACAAACGUCCACUUCUCGUCAGGAUGUUUUCUGCCAUCUCCAAAGGCCUUUUCAAGCCCUUCUUCACAGUCUCUCUUCUGACACUGUGUGACAUGCCCUCUGAUCCAGUGAUCUAGGAUAUUCUGAGUGGCUUUAGGCCUGAAUCUCUGCCCUCCUGCCCAAAUAAAUGUUUUCUCUUCUGAUAUAUCUGCCUCUGUCAGCAGCCAGCAGGGGAAAACAGACAGCACUGUUGAGAGCUGUGGGCACCUAGCUGCUGCCCCCGCUGGGCUUGGACUGGGUCUUGCCCCUCAUGGCCCCUCCGCGAGCCUGUCCCCAGUACAGCAGCAGCCAGCCAAGGGCCAGGCUCGCGGAGGGGCCAUGAGGGGCAAGACCCAGUCCAAGCCCAGCGGGGGCAGCAGCUAGGUGCCCACAGCUCUCAACAGUGCUGUCUGUUUUCCCCUGCUGGCUGCUGACAGAGGCAGAUAUAUCAGAAGAGAAAACAUUUAUUUGGGCAGGAGGGCAGAGAUUCAGGCCUAAAGCCACUGCAGCGGAAACUGGGGCCUGUUGGGCCGGGCUGUGAGGAGGGGGGGUCUGUAUCUGAAGCGAGGCAGCUGCAGUCCCCACCUGCUGCUGGAGGAGCUUCUGCUGAACCACCUGGGCUGUGCCUGCUGGAAUCAUCUGGACCUGGGGAUGUAGUCUGGGUCAGGGCAACCGUCAGGGGCUGGAUCUGUUACGAGACAGGAAGAGGGUCACAUUAAAUCAGACAGAAGACAACAUCAAGUGUAAAAUGAUCACUCGUGGUUGUAAUCUGUUGAUCACUCGUGGUUGUAAUCUGUUGAUCACUCGUGGUUGUAAUCUGUUGGCAUCGUCCCUGGGUGUCACUUCUGUAGCAGUAUUGUUAAGAGUGUAUGAUUGUUUUUUUUUAAUUUUAACUUUAACUUUCUAACUUCAGUUAAGAACAAAUUCUUAUUUACAACGACGGCCAUAAGAACAGUGGGUUAAUUGCCUUGUUCAAGGGCAGAACGACAGAUUUUUACCUUGUCAGCUCGGGGAUUUGAUCUGGCAACCUCUCGGUUACUGGCCCAAUGCUCUAACCACGAGGCUAUCUGCCGCCCCACAUACAUGUAUGUAUGUAUGUAUGUAUGUAUGUACGUAGUGGGGCAAAAAAGUAUUUAGUCAGCCACCAAUUGUGGCUCCCACUUAAAAAGAUGAGAGAGGCCUGUAAUUUUCAUCAUAGGUACACUUCAACUAUGACAGACAAAAUGAGAAAAAAAAUCAAAUUGUAGGAUUUUUUAGGAAUUUAUUUUAAAUUAAGGUGGAAAAUAAGUAUUUGGUCAAUAACAAAAGUUUAUCUCAAUACUUUGUUAUAUACCCUUUGUUGGCAAUGACAAAGGUCAAAUGUUUUCUGUAAGUCUUCACAAGGUUUUCACACACUGUUGCUGGUAUUUUGGCCCAUUCCUCCAUGCAGACCUCCUCUAGAGCAGUGAUGUUUUGGGGCUGUUGCUGGGCAACACGGACUUUCAACUCCCUCCAAAGAUUUUCUAUGGGGUUGAGAUCUGGAGACUGGCUAGGCCACAGGACCUUGAAAUGCUUCUUACGAAGCCACUCCUUCCUUGCCCGGGUGGUGUGUUUGGGAUCAUUGUCAUACUGAAAGACACAGCCACGUUUCAUCUUCAAUGCCCUUGCUGAUGGAAGGAGGUUUUCACUCAAAAUCUCACGAUACAUGGCCCCAUUCAUUCUUUCCUUUACACGGAGCAGUUGUCCUGGUCUCUUUGCAGAAAAACAGCCCCAAGCUGUUUCCACCCCCAUGCUUCACAGUAGGUAUGGUGUUCUUUGGAUGCAACUCAGCAUUCUUUGUCCUCCAAACACGACGAGUUGAGUUUUUACCAAAAAGUUAUAUUUUGGUUUCAUCUGACCGUAUGACAUUCUCCCAAUCUGGCACUGCAGGAUUUGAGUCCCUGGCGGCGUAGUGUGUUACUGAUGGUAGGCUUUGUUACUUUGGUCCCAGCUCUCUGCAGGUCAUUCACUAGGUCCCCCCGUGUGGUUCUGGGAUUUUUGCUCACCGUUCUUGUGAUCAUUUUGACCCCACGGGGUGAGAUCUUGCGUUGAGCCCCAGAUCGAGGGAGAUUAUCAGUGGUUUUGUAUGCCUUCCAUUUCCUAAUAUUUGCUCCCACAGUUGAUUUCUUCAAAGUUUGGAGUUUGGAGUGUGACUGUUUGAGGUUGUGGACAGAUGUCUUUUAUACUGAUAACAAGAUCAAACAUUAAGACAAACAUUAAUACAGGUAACGAGUGGAAGACAGAGGAGCCUCUUCAAGAAGAAGUUACAGGCCUGUGAGAGCCAGAAAUCUUGCUUGUUUGUAGGUGACCAAAUACUUAUUUUCCACCAUAAUUUGCAAAUAAAUUCAUUAAAAAUCCUACAAUGUGAUUUUCUGGAUUUUCUUUUCUCCUUUUGUCUGUCAUAGUUGAAGUGUACCUACGAUGAAAAUUACAGGCCUCUCUCAUCUUUUUAAGUGGGAGAACUUGCACAAUUGGUGGCUGACUAAAUACUUUUUUGCCCCACUGUAUGUAUGUAUGUACACUGCUCAAAAAAAGAAAGGGAACACUAAAAUAACACAUCCUAGAUCUGAAUUAAUGAAAUAUUCUUAUUAAAUACUUUUUUCUUUACAUAGUUGAAUGUGCUGACAACAAAAUCACACACAAAUUAUCAAUGGAAAUCAAAUGUAUCAACCCAUGGAGGUCUGGAUUUGGAGUCACACUCAAAAUUAAAGUGGAAAACCACACUACAGGCUGAUCCAACUUUGAUGUAAUGUCCUUAAAAGAAGUCAAAAUGAGGCUCAGUAGUGUAUGUGGCCUCCACUUGCCUGUAUGAGCUCCCUACAACGCUUGGGCAUGCUCCUGAUGAGGUGGCGGAUGGUCUCCAGAGGGAUCUCCUCCCAGACCUGGACUAAAGCAUCCGCCAACUCCUGGACAGUCUGUGGUGCAACGUGGCGUUGGUGGAUGGAGCGAGACAUGAUGUCCCAGAUGUGCUCAAUUGGAUUCAGGUCUGGGGAACGGGCGGGCCAGUCCAUAGCAUCAAUGCCUUC